UACGGGGGGAGCAAGCGUUGUUCGGAUUUACUGGGCGUAAAGGGCGCGUAGGCGGCCACCGCAAGUCGGUUGUGAAAUCUCCGGGCUUAACCCGGAAAGGUCAAUCGAUACUGCGGGGCUAGAGUGCAGAAGGGGCAACUGGAAUUCCUGGUGUAGCGGUGAAAUGCGCAGAUAUCAGGAGGAACACCGAUGGCGAAGGCAGGUCUCUGGGCAUUAACUGACGCUGAGGAGCGAAAGCAUGGGGAGCGAACAGG
rnacentral:rRNA from 1 species